AGCGAGGUAGAGGAAUUGGUUGACUCAUUAAGCCCAUGAACUUAAGAUUGCAGGUUCGAAUCCUGUCCCUGCCU
rnacentral:tRNA from 1 species